CCUCCUCCUGCUCCUGCUCCUGCUAAAGGAGAAAAUGAUGAGGUUUCCUUCAGUGAAUCUUGAUCUUGUUGAGGAGAAGGAUGUGGUGAAUUUGGUUUAUUUCCUUUUCCGCCAUAGGCAAUAUUUUCUGAUUCAGAAAGUACCAUCUUCUUGUGUGAUGGAUACUUAUAAAUGGUUUUGUAUCAAUUAAUCCCUGAUGAAAGUUAAG
rnacentral:misc_RNA from 1 species